rnacentral:rRNA from 1 species
CAGCACCUCAAGUGGUCAGGAUGAUUAUUGGGCCUAAAGCAUCCGUAGCCGGCGCUGUAAGUUUUCGGUUAAAUCUGUACGCUCAACGUACAGGCUGCCGGGAAUACUGCAGCGCUAGGGAGUGGGAGAGGUAGACGGUACUCGGUAGGAAGGGGUAAAAUCCUUUGAUCUAUUGAUGACCACCUGUGGCGAAGGCGGUCUACCAGAACACGUCCGACGGUGAGGGACGAAAGCUGGGGGAGCGAACCGGAUUAGAUACCCGAGUAGUCC